rnacentral:rRNA from 1 species
AGCGAACGCUGGCGGCAUGCUUAACACAUGCAAGUCUCACGGGCAGCAAUGUCAGUGGCGGACGGGUGAGUAACGCGUAGGUAUCUAUCCUGAGGUGGGGGACAACCGUGGGAAACUACGGCUAAUACCGCAUGAUGCCUGAGGGCCAAAGGCGCGAGUCGCCAUGGGAGGAGCCUGCGUACGAUUAGCUAGUUGGUGGGGUAAAGGCCUACCAAGGCGACGAUCGUUAGCUGGUCUGAGAGGAUGAUCAGCCACACUGGGACUGAGACACGGCCCAGACUCCUACGGGAGGCAGCAGUGGGGAAUAUUGGACAAUGGGCGCAAGCCUGAUCCAGCAAUGCCGCGUGUGUGAAGAAGGUUUUCGGAUUGUAAAGCACUUUCGACGGGGACGAUGAUGACGGUACCCGUAGAAGAAGCCCCGGCUAACUUCGUGCCAGCCGCCGCCGUAAUAC